UUGUUGGAUCUUCUCCUAUUAAUCCACUAGGAUGAGCACCUACUGGGUUGAAGUAUCUUAAAGAGAUUAUAUUCCAACUCUGUCAAAUGAAACUCUUGAUAUAUCUUUGAGCAUCUCUUCGAUAAAAUACUUAGUACGACCAUAUACAUUAGUUAUAUUUCCUGUAGGAUGUUCUUCAGUUAUUGGUAAUUCAUUUGGUUCUCCAUAUACUGUACAAGAACUACUAAAAACUAAUUGAAAACAACCAGCAGCUUUCAUUACCUAAAAUAAAUUAAUGGCACCAAUAAUAUUAUUCUUAUAAUAAUGAAGUGGAACUUGCAUAGAUUCUCCCACUGCUUUUAUAGCCGCAAAAUGAAUGACACAAUCUAUUUUGUGCUAAAAAAUAUUACAAAAAUUAAUAAAAAUACUAUAUUAAUAAAUAGAACUUUACAUUGAUAACACUUACCUUAUUAAAUACUUCUUCAAGAUUGUUUUUAUUAAUUAGGUCACAAUUAUAAAAUAUAACUUUCUUUCCAGUUAUUUUUUCAACUCUUUUAAGAGCUGCAGAUUCCCCUUUACCUUCUACAACGCUAUUUGCAAAAUUGUCUAUAGCUACUACAUCAUAUCCACAUUCUAAAAGUUCUACAAUACAAUGACUACCAAUAUAACCAGCACCUCCAGUUACAAAAAUUGUUCUCCAAUUUUCAGUCAUAGCUGUCAAUCAUGCAAAUCUACACGUAAUCUACGCAAAUCUACGCGGGCAAUCACCUUCGGAAACGAGCAUAUUGAAAGUUCAAGGUUAUCGAAACGCGUAAUAGAUCAUUCUAAGAAUGAUCAAAUAGGUAGACACCUAAUAAAUUUAAAUUUUAAUAGAAUGAGUAUAACAUAGUUUUU